rnacentral:rRNA from 1 species
UGGNGAAUAGNGCACAAUGGGAGGAANCNUGAUGCAGNGACGCCGCGNGGGGGAUGAAGGCCUUCGGGUCGUAAACUUCUUUCGACAGGGACGAAGCUUUUGUGACGGUACCUGUAUAAGAAGCACCGGCUAAUUACGUGCCAGCAGCCGCGGUAAUAUGUGGGGUGCGAGCGUUUUCCGGAAUUACUGGGGGUAAAGAGCUCGUAGGUGGUUUGUCGCGUGGUAUCUGAAAUUCCGGGGAUUAACUCCGGGCGUGCCGGCGAUACGGGCUGACAUGACUGUUUUAGGGGAGAUUGGAAUUCCUUGCGUAGCGGUGAAAUGCGCAGAUAUCAGGAGGAACACCGAUGGCGAAGGCAGGUCUUCGGGCAGUAACAGACGAUGAGGAGCGAAAGCAUGGGUAGCGAACAGGAUUAGAUACCCUGCAAACACAUGCCGUAAACGGUGGCCUUCAGGGGUAGGGGGCUUCCAUCUCUUCUGUUUCGUAGCCACCAAGUAAGCUGCACGCCGAGGGAGCACGGCACCAAGGUCA